UACGUAGGGGGCGAGCGUUGUCCGGAAUUACUGGGCGUAAAGGGUGCGUAGGUGGCUGUUUAAGUUGGAUGUGAAAUACCCGGGCUUAACUUGGGGGGUGCAUUCAAAACUGGGCGGCUAGAGUGCAGGAGAGGGAAGUGGAAUUCCUAGUGUAGCGGUGAAAUGCGUAGAUAUUAGGAGGAACACCAGUGGCGAAGGCGGCUUCCUGGACUGUAACUGACACUGAGGCACGAAAGCGUGGGGAGCAAACAGGAUUAGAUACCCUGGUAGUCCACGCUGUAAACGAUGAAUACUAGGUGUAGGGGGUAUGAACUCCCCCUGUGCCGGAGCAAACGCAAUAAGUAUUCCGCCUGGGGAGUACGGCCGCAAGGUUGAA
rnacentral:rRNA from 1 species